AACGAUGGAUACUAGGGGUUGCUCGUAAUCGACCCGAGCAGGCGCGUAGCCAACGCGGUAAGUAUCCCGCCUGGGGAAGUACGCUCGCAAGAGGGAAACUCAAAGGAAUUGACGGGGGCCCGCACAAACGGUGGAGUAUGUGGUUUAAUUCGAUGCAACGCGAAGAACCUUACCAGGGGCUUGACAUGUCCGGGAACCUUGCCGAAAGGUGAGGGUGCGUACGGGAACCGGAGCACAGGUGGUGCAUGGCUGUCGUCAGCUCGUGUCGUGAAGAUGUUGGGUUAAGUCCCGCAACGAGCGCAACCCACGUUCUUAGUUGCCAGCAUUCAGUUGGGGCACUCUAGGGAGACUGCCGGUGACAAACCGGAGGAAGGUGUGGAUGACGUCAAGUUCAAGCAUGCCCCUUACGUUCCUGGGCUAACAACAACGUACUACAAUGCUGUGGAACAAAGGGCAGCCAGCCGGCGACGGUGAGCUUAAUCCCAUAAACCACGGCACAGUUCAGAUUGCAGGCUGCAACUUGCCUGCAAUGAAGGAGGAAUCGCUAGUAAUCGCAGGUCAGCAUACUGCGGUGGAUACGUUCCCGGGCCUUGUACAACACCGCCCNUCACACCAAUGGGAGUUGGUUUUGCCC
rnacentral:rRNA from 1 species